GUCGUCGUAGACCAUGGCGGUCACCUCGCAAGAUUCAGGCUGUUAAGCAUAAAUUUGCACUGAGGAAGCGGGGGUUCGAUUCCCCCCGACGGCA